rnacentral:rRNA from 1 species
GGGUAGCUAUGUGCGGAAUGGAUAAGCGCUGAAAGCAUCUAAGCGCGAAGCCAACUUCAAGAUAAGAUUUCCCACCGCAAGGGUAAGACCCCAGAAAGACUAUCUGGUUGAUAGGUCGAAGGUGUAAGUGCAGCAAUGUAUUUAGCUUAUCGAUACUAAUAGGUCGAGGACUUGACCAA